UGACGAACGGGUGAGUAACGCGUGAGGAACCUGCCUCAAAGAGGGGGACAACAGUUGGAAACGACUGCUAAUACCGCAUAAGCCCACGACCCGGCAUCGGGAAGAGGGAAAAGGAGCAAUCCGCUUUGAGAUGGCCUCGCGUCCGAUUAGCUAGUUGGUGAGGUAACGGCCCACCAAGGCGACGAUCGGUAGCCGGACUGAGAGGUUGAACGGCCACAUUGGGACUGAGACACGGCCCAG
rnacentral:rRNA from 1 species